ensembl:lncRNA
CGUCUCCGUGGUUUGGAAAUGCUGAAAAAGGAAGGCCCCCCCCACCAAGUUUCGCUCGGCAUUUGAGAUGAACCAGGCGCGCGACCCCUCCAGAACCUCUGGCUUUGUGCAGGCAGCGGGAUGCCUACCGAGGCUAAGAAGGCUGCAAUGCUGGGAAGAAGGAUGGAAAGGGCGCUCCCACUGGGAAGAAGGACAGGUGGCCAUUUCAUGCCACCAGUGCUAGAGCCUGUUCCUGGCCUGGAGUCGGAGCAAGGCUGCGCGAGCACCGCUGCCACCAGGAAAUCAGAGGGGCGGCGUGUCAGGAGGGUGAGGCCGGAGCUGCCCCUUCCAACAGCAGCGAGUGCGGCGUUUGUUAAGCUGUGGAGCGAAACUGUGCUGCAAGAGUUGGGGUGAGGUGAUAAUUAGCAGGUGGAGAGCAGAAACUUUCUGACAGGGAUCAAAGCACUCUGCUAAUACUUGAGGCUCAAGACCUGCCCAUGACAGAGCAGCCUUGCUGCCCUAAGAGUGCUCCCGUCCUGUGUGAGCAGCGCCUCUCCUGCUCUGUCUGCACCUCUGCCACCAGCUCCUGCUGCCUUCUGUUGAGCCUUGCAACAGGGCAGCUGCUGGGCAAACUGAGUUGGACCUUCUCUUGCGGAUGUGGAGCCUUGCCUGUGGCUCAUCUGGCAAAAUCCAAGGUGCUGCUGGAGCCUCCUGCUGUUUUAUGUGCUCACCUCCAACCUGCACGGUCGUGUCUCACUGGGUGAGAACGAGAGCACUGGGGCUGAGCGGUGAUCCCCGGAGAGCCAGGGCAUUGUUUGUCGGGAGUGCCAAAAGGUACGCAGCAAGGCUGUGUAGCUGGAGGCUGGGGAUGGAGCUUUGCUGGGACAGCAGUGCCAUUUCGGCAGCGCUGAAACACUCCGGGCAGGGCGUCAGGCAGGGCUGGGUGCUGUAGCUCGGGUGGGCCCAGCUGAUGCGGUCUCUGCUCCGCUUCGGCUGCUGGGUGGGGUGGGAGAGGGACCUCGCCGGGUGGGGCUGCUGGCUGCUUGCCCCUCCGCCGCCUCCCCGGAGGGGCGGCUGGCAGCGCUCCGCGUCCUCCACUGCUGCUCAAGCCCUGCUUUCCGGGUGCUGGCGGCCCUGGGCGAGCGGCGCUGGCACAGCGUGCUCUAGGUGGAGCAUUUGUGCUGGAGAGCCCAGGCUUUCAAGAGCUCGAAUAGGAAGUUACUUCUUGCGAUAAAUUGAUGGCUUCAUUUUUUUGACCUUUGAAAGCUUUUCGUGCUUUCGCUACGUGUAGGAAAUGAAAUUUCUCAUGCUGAGAAACAGCGAGUUCUAGCUCUGGGAAAGAAUGACCGACGUGAUCUUCUGUCGGAUGCCUGGCAGAGCUCGGAUAGUGCGAAACAGGGCUUGGGUCCCGGGCUGCGUUCCUUCGUUUCAGAACGUCUGUCUGCGAGACUGCGGAGCUGGAAAGGGGAAUCGGGAGAACACAGCACCGCUGGGGUGUUCUGGUGGCUGGGGAGCCCAUGGAGAGCCACCAAAGCACAGCGGCUUCUGGUCUCAGAGAAGGGUUUCAGUGGUGACUGAACAGCAGCUUCAGGGAAAAAUGAAAUGCUAAAACGAUGAAGGCUGAGGGCUGCUUGAUCCUGAGUCUGGGUGAAGUUUGGGCAUAGCUUGAAACGUUUCCUGGAUCCUCCUGGGGCUCCUCUGACACCCUUCCCGCUAGCCAUGGUGCUUGGCCACUGGGGCUCUGCUCCGGCUGUGCCGAAUGGUGCUGGCUGGUGUGCUCUGUGUGCAUCGCUCUGGCUGUCGCUGAGCUGUCAUCUCUUCCCUUACCAUUUCUUUAGCUUUCUGGGGGCAUAAGAGUCUGUGCUGUCCCUGUUCUGAGUGUUUUGUGGCUUGUGUUCAUAAGUCUUUUCCCAAAUGAAAGGCAGCGACCUCAUUUUCCUCCUGGGGACUCG